rnacentral:RNase_P_RNA from 1 species
CGAGUCGGCUGAGCAGCCGCCUUCACGAAUGCCGAAAGGCUGUGGGGGAGGAAAGUCCGGGCUCCACAGGGCGAGGAUAACGGGUAACACCCGCCGCAGGCGACUGCCGGAAAAGGGCAACAGAGAUAUACCGCCCGAUGUAUUUCGGGUAAGGGUGGAAAGGCGAGGUAAGAGCUCACCGGUUCCUCGGGUAACCGGGGAAUCCUGUAACCUCUAUCCGGAGCAACACCGCAUAUGGGGAAUAUGGCCGGCCCGGCUUCCCCGGAGGUGGCAUUGAGCCGUUUGGUAACAAUCGGCCCAGAUAGAUGGCUGCUUUAAAUGACAGAACCCGGCUUACAGGCCGACUCGCAAC